rnacentral:rRNA from 1 species
ACACAUGCAAGUCGAACGAGGUCCAUCCACUCGCAAGAGUGGUGAAGACCUAGUGGCGAACGGGUGAGUAACACGUGAGAAACCUGCCCCGAAGACCGGGAUAACUCACCGAAAGGUGAGCUAAUACCGGAUGCCUUCACGACGUCUCAUGGCGAUGUGAAGAAAUGGAUUCCGCUUCGGGAGGGUCUCGCGGCCUAUCAGCUUGUUGGUGAGGUAACGGCUCACCAAGGCGACGACGGGUAGCUGUUCUGAGAGGAAGAUCAGCCACACUGGGACUGAGACACGGCCCAGACUCCUACGGGAGGCAGCAGUGGGGAAUCUUGCGCAAUGGGCGAAAGCCUGACGCAGCGAUGCCGCGUGCGGGAAGACGGCCUUCGGGUUGUAAACCGCUUUCAGCAGGGACGAAAUUGACGGUACCUGCAGAAGAAGCUCCGGCCAACUACGUGCCAGCAGCCGCGGUAAGACGUAGGGGGCGAGCGUUGUCCGGAAUUAUUGGGCGUAAAGGGCUCCUAGGCGGUUCAGUAAGUCGACUGUGAAAAUCCAAGGCUAAACCUUGGGACGCCAGUCGAUACUGCUGUGACUCGAGUUCGGUAGAGGAGUGUGGAAUUCCUGGUGUAGCGGUGAAAUGCGCAGAUAUCAGGAGGAACACCAACGGCGAAGGCAGCACUCUGGGCCGAUACUGACGCUGA